UGGGGAAUAUUGCACAAUGGGCGCAAGCCUGAUGCAGCCAUGCCGCGUGUAUGAAGAAGGCCUUCGGGUUGUAAAGUACUUUCAGUCGGGAGGAAGGUGUCAAGGUUAAUAACCUUGGCAAUUGACGUUACCGACAGAAGAAGCACCGGCUAACUCCGUGCCAGCAGCCGCGGUAAUACGGAGGGUGCAAGCGUUAAUCGGAAUUACUGGGCGUAAAGCGCACGCAGGCGGUUGAUUGAGUCAGAUGUGAAAUCCCCGGGCUUAACCCGGGAAUUGCAUCUGAUACUGGUCAGCUAGAGUCUUGUAGAGGGGGGUAGAAUUCCAUGUGUAGCGGUGAAAUGCGUAGAGAUGUGGAGGAAUACCGGUGGCGAAGGCGGCCCCCUGGACAAAGACUGACGCUAAGGUGCGAAAGCGUGGGGAGCAAACAGG
rnacentral:rRNA from 1 species